AGAUGCCUUGCGGGACGUGCGAGACGUCCACCUGUCAGACAGACAAUAGGGAUGACGCAUUAAACAAGCAAAAUCAAACGUUCUUCUUGCAUUGCAUUGUUUUAAACGUGUUAAGCUCACCUUUUCAUUCUGGAUGCUUGGCCCAGUGUUAAUUGAAUUGAAUUAGUUCCUCUGCUAUGCAACGUGGACAACUUUUCGAAUGCAUCUUAUUUACUCUUGCUUCUGCUGCUCUAACAAAGUGGAUGUUGGCUUUCCAACACAUCUCUUUCCACGCAAUGAAAGUAACAUCUUAUCCCACAAAUAGGAUUUCUUUCAAACUUCAGUUCUCGUAUCAUCAUCAUGAGCAUUUUACCCACGUCAAAUCUUUCCAGUCGUGUUGUUUGUCUUUUGGACUAGUGCUUCUGAUCCAAGUUAACCCACUCAUGCAGUCUUCACAGUCUGUGAGGUCAUGCGUUUAUUGUUGUGUUGCUUUGGCAAAUCAUCUGUCACGGGCCUGCAUUUUGAUGCUAUACUUGUUUACCAGCGAAAAUUCAGUUUCAAGGGAGUUUUGUGAAACCAUAAGAGCAGGCCUCACACUACAGGCCUGUUUUGCACUAGGAAUAUCUUUACCUGUUUAAUAAUGUUGUUUUGUUGUGAGAACUUUGUCGCACUCAUCAGAGAUGCGUUUUGUGAUUCAGGGUUGUUGUUCUUUUUUUAAGAAAAAGAGAGAAGAAGAAGAAAAGAAAAAGAAAAAAAGAAAUCAUCCGCAACCUUUGAAAUUUACUUCCUCUUCGCCGAACUCUGCAGCGUUUUACUUAUAUCGUGUUAUCCACUUUAUCAGAGCCUCUCACGUUGUCAGGUUAACGUAUUUUCAAGGACAUUGAGGAUUUGAAGGCAGCGGUUGAUUUGGGGUUUGACGCAAAAAUGAACCAAGCGGACUGUCUCAAGCAUAUGCUGGUAUGGUCGUCAAGCUGGAGGAAGAGAAGGGCGUCUUGAUGGUGACUUCACUGACACCAACAACUUCCUGACGCAACGCUACUGUAACAGCAGCGGGGAAAACAGCUCACCUUUUCAUCCGAUGAACCAACAUGAUCCUAUUUCUGCAUAGUAAGCCGUCUCAGCUGCUUUUCUCCUCUCCGUUCCAGGAACAGCGGCGGGCUCGUUGCACCAAAGAAUAGUCUGCUUAUGCUUAUAUUUUUCACAUCAUAGAAAGUGCCAUCCGUUACGCCGUACUUGUUGCACAGCUUUGCGAUCCCCUUUGUUGUUGGACAACGGGAAAUCGGAUUACCUGGGUUUCAAGUGUGCCCCAAAAUUAUUCUUCAAUCUUUUCUGUUGGCGCGGAGAAAGUGAACUUUUCUACAAAUCUAUGACAGAAAAUAACACAUCGAGGGAGAGCAAAUGGUGGAUGGGAUUAUUGCUCAAAUGCAGUCCAGCUUUUACGCUGAAGGAAAGCUGAAUUCGUUUGACAGCACAGGGUUGUUGUUUUUUUCUUUCUUUCUUUGAGUGGUAGAAAACUGGAGGACUCCUACUCCUUGCUGUGGGGGUAACGCGUUACUGAGCAACGCGUUACCGCCCUGCACUGUCCGGAAACUAGUUUGAAGUUGAAAAGGCGUGUAGGCUGCACGCGUUCUGCUUUUGAAGACCGUGGCUCGGCGAAGUAACAAAGAGAAAGCCCGUCUCUGCUGUGCGGCUCUGUGCAGGAACUCAAUUUACCGAGACGCGCUGUAUGCAAAUGCACCCGUUCCUCUACACGCGCACGGGCGCACCGACCUGUAGUAGCCUGAUCUUGGACAGCCUAUCGGACCCGGGCACCGUGUGCCUUGUAGCCUUGUCUGCUUCACUUUGAAGAGAUGCUGGUCGUCCCGGACACGUGAGCUGAGCUGUUGAGAAGACUUUGUGGCGGAUUUGGAUGAGGGUUUUUUUUUUUCUCUGUGCGUUAAUGGCCAGGCGUGCGAACUAGGCUAUGGUGCGCUCAGAUGUGUGCGUAUGUAUGUGUGUGUGUGUGUGUGUGUGUUUUUUUUUCUUUCUCUCCCUCGGUCGCUCUGUGUAUCCACCGCUCCGCCUCCUCCCCCCUUUUCGCAACAUUGACGCAACCAAAAAUACUGGAACAAAAGAAACAACUUCCUUGAAGCUUUGCUGAAACUGCACUUAGUCGGUGAAUAGAAGGUUGUUGUCAACUUGCCUGGAUGAAAAUGUCGAUGUGAGGGUGUCACCAGUGGCCGGCUGGCAACGAGAGAGAUGCAGUCGAUUCCUCUGAAACGCGCCCAGGCUUAUCCAAAAGGAACAAAGCAGUUCUUUAUUGGUCGCAUCCUUGGACUACUGUGAACAGUAAAACUAUUCAUCACCUUCUGAGUUGCUCUUAAACAGCUCUUAAAGGUAAUCUGCCUCUUUUUUCUUUUUUUUUAAUUAUUUUUUUUCUUCCCCCAUGACAGUUGAUUCCUUUGUUGUUUUGUGGACUGAUCUAUUUUGUGUGGAGAUGAUGAAAAGAUCUCAUGCUGUGUAAAUAUUGCCCAGUAGUUGGUGAAACAUUUCAUCAUUAAUUGUAAAGCUGUGGCACAGUGAACACAGUAUAUUUUUACCCUGUGCAGUUGUCUUGCCAUAUGCAGAACAACAAUGAUUUGGCUAGGCUAAUCCCUGAUGUUUAUCUGGCUUACAUGCUACAUGAAACGGAUUUGUAAUUGGGUAAGGAUAUAGCUUGCUUGUAAAAUGGAGAAGAAAAUGUCUUAGUGUGGUUCCAUGCACUGUAACUCUGGGAUGGCCAAAUAGUUUUAAUCAGUGAUAUUUUUGCAAAGACCUUGUCACAUGGAUGGAUGUGAUUGCUGUUCCCUGUUUUUUUUCGCAGUUGAUGAUUUCAAUGCGGAUCUCCCUUUAUUUUGUGCUUGUACUUGCAGAAUACUCUGUAAAACAGACCAGAAGAGGCUAACCCAGACCACUUGAUCUGGGGAGGUGAUGGGUUGUCAUGUCCAUGUCCCUUUUGCCCUACUGGGUGUAGGAGGUUACUUGACCUUUCAACCUUGGGGUCAGGUGACUCUUUAAGGUCAUUGUAUGGGUAGCAAGUGUCUGUAGGAAUGGGUUAAAAAGGCUGAGCAGAGAAGAUGACAUGUCUGGGCAUGCUUCCUUUAAAGGAGAGAGAGAAAAAUAGGGAGAGGUUGGAGUCAGUGAUGUGAACAGUUCCACCUGGACUUGGAAAGAAAUGAUCAGCUUAUAAGGAAAUUGCACAACUUACCUGGUUUGUUUCUUUGUGUGCUUUUUGUUAAGUAUUUUAGGUUUGUUUGAUUGCAACUUCAGUGUAGAUCAGGCUGUUCUGCAAAAAAAAAUGGUGUGUACAAACUAAAUAUGAGAUGAGAAAAUUAUACAUGAUUAUUCUGCAGGAAAGUAGAUCCACUGUAACAAUAGUGGGCUGUCAUUGUUUUUAUAACUAGCAAAACCUUUUUGUAAAUCAGUGAAUUAAUUUUUCUCAUAAAUUUAUUUAUUUAUUUUUUAUGAUUUUAAAAACAAUGUCUGAUGUCAUUUCUCACCUGCAGCUUUGCAGAGCACACUCAUGUCUUCUGUCAAUUUUUUUUAUUUUAUUUUAUUUGAAUGGCUAUUGCAAGUUAUUCCGUUUACAAAGCUUAAAAAUGGCAAAUCCCUGUGAUCGGGAAGUAAGUGUGUGUGUAGCAUUUCUGUUUGAAGACUAGUGUCUAAUUUUUGUUGCACUCCUAACAGGCAGUGUGGACUUUAUUAGCCUAGGACUAAAACAAGAAUUUGCCCCACAAAUCUGGCAAUUGCACAGUCCUGGUUUGUAGUUUUAAAUUAACAGCAGCUUCAAAUGUCUUAAAACUCUGUUUUCUUGGUAACAAUCUUAUUUUUAUUCUUUUUUGUCAUUUAGGUGCAAAAAAUAUUUUAGGUAUGCAUGAUAUCAACUGUAAAAUUUGAAUUGAGGAAGUGUUUAAUUUCAUACUGACUUAGCUUGUACUAUGGUUUUGGGUUUUUUUUGUUUUUUUUGUUUUUUUUCUCCAUGUGUUUUUUUUUUUUAAUGUUAGGCAAUAAGGGACAUUAUCUGUGAAUUACAGGCUAGACUUCUACUUAUAAACUGGGUAAGUAGAAGAGGAAAGUGGAAAGGGGGCAAAAAAAAUACACCACACUAAGUGGUCUUCACUGUUUUUCCACCCACCUGCCACUCUCAGGUAGGUCUGGCUGAGUUGUGCUGUUGCACCUGUGUUGACUACAUUGGGUUACGCAAUUGGGCUGUAAUCAUGAAUGCCUCUCAUUAAUAAAGGUGUUUAAUUUGCCUAAAGUCAGAAUCACGCGAUGUCCUUUAGAUAUCAGAAACUUUGCGGUAAUGGCACAGGAGGUAAAAUCAACAUUUCUUUGCAGGCUGGUAUAACAAGUUUUAGUUUGCCAGUCAUCAUAGUUCAAGUUGCAUCUGUUUAACACUUUAUUGAGAAAUACAACAUGUUUGGGGAUUUUUAAAGUCAAAUUCAAAUUAAAGACUUUUGUCUGUUACAGUAUAACCGAUGAAAGCAGUGCCUUUGUGCCACUAUUGUUGUUAUCCCUACUCACACCUUCAUUAUCACAUGAAGAAAAAUGUUUGUGGCUUUUCUUUUCUUUUUAGUCUUUCAUGUGAACUAGACUGGAGUUUGUGUGAGAAAGAAAACAACUGCCGAACUUAUCAGUGUCUUUUUGGAGAGGAAGUAUGCAAGAGACUUUAUCAGAUUCAGGCUAUCAUGUCCAUUUCAGACUAAGGUCAUAAUUACAGGUCCAUUGAGACCUCUAGUGGUAACAAUUGUUGGCCUAAAUCUCCCAUGGGAUUAUUAUCGGGAUAAUGUUUGUUUUAACACCUUCUACAUGUUUUAAGAUUUAAAUGUUUUGUUGACAUUUACUACAGCAGCCUAAAACUUUUUACAUCAAGGGUGGCAUAUUCUUCAGUUGAAAUAACUGGAAGAUGUUUUAUUUGCUGAGCUGUUGGGGGGGAAAGUUGUUGUUGUUGUUGGUUUUUUUGUUUGUUUGUUUGUUUGUUUGUUUUUUUUUGCAUUUGCAUUUGCUUUCAUCUGCAUUUCAGAUGACCUAUUGUGUGCUGGCUCCUGAAAAGGCAAAAUAUCUGUUAGUAUUCAUGUGAAUUUUAUAUUUGUGGUCUCUCCAUAUGACCCCCUUUCUUUGUUUGAAUUUUAAUUUUUUAAAGUAAGCUAUUAUUCUUAUUCUUUUGAUUUUGCCCUAGUUUAAGAUGAAUUUUAAACCUAAGUUAUUUUCAGUAGUUUCUAUGGAGCAUGAACAGUGAACUGCACUAUAUGCUAGCUUUACACUUGGAUGUUUGAACAUCUGCCAGUAGCACUAAUGGGAGUGGAAUGAAAAUGCAACAAUAGUUUGCAAGUUUACAUUAGGGAGAAAUUUAGUAAUGAUUUCUGACUUUUAGAAAAGUGCCUUGUCAAAUAGUUUUACACUGCUGACAUAAAUCAGUCCUUGCCUUAUUUGCAAGGGUGUAAAUAAAUAGUCAUUUAAUUUUGACUCCUACUUGUGUUUUUUUUUUUUAUAAAAGUAGAUUGCAAAAUCUUUAAACUUCAGAUGUAAAACUAUAAGUACAUUACGAAGUCUGUGGACAUUGGUGCUCCUAUAAGCUGCUUGGCUCAAAGUUGAGGGGAAUCCUAAUUGUAGAGCAUACAAUAAUAUUUCUGUAUUUUAAAUGUGGCAACAGUUUGGGGAAUAAGUCUUCUAGUUUCAACAGUGCUUCAUGCAUUGAGCAAUAUUUAUAAAGAAAUAUAUUUCCAAGUUUUGUGUGGAAGAACUCCACUGGCCUACACACAGCUCUGACCUCAAUCCCUUGGAACAGCUUGUGGAUGAACUGGAGGCCGACAGCUAGCCAAGGGUCCAGGCCUUAUCAUCCAGCAUCAUUGUCCGAUCUUACAUUGUGGCUAAACUGGUGCAAAUCUUGGCAGCCAGGCUUUGAAAUUGUGAUAAGUGAUUUCCUGGAAGAGUGCAGCAGCUUAGUAAUGCCCAUACAGUUUUGAGAUGAGGCUUUCAACAAACGCAAGAGUGUGAAGCUCUCCUGUCCACAUACUUUUCAGCACAAAGAACACUUUAAUACUUAAUGUUAAUAUUUUGAGAAUGACUUCUGUAUUAUAUUAAACCUUUUCUCUCUCUCUUUUUCUUUUUGUUUUGUGUGUUUCAGAUGCCGAGUCUCCAUGGCCACUUUAGGAGAAGACUGGAAACUUCAAUCUGAUUCUGGUGAUCACCUGAAUGUCUUUAGGUGGUUUAAAUAAUAGGUAAUGGCUCUGUAUCCAUCCGUAAACAUGUGCUAAGGAUUAGAAGGCCAGAAGAUGAAGACGGCGCAAAUAACACAGAAGCAGAGACUGUUUUGAAUGGAAGGACCGCAGCAGCAGUUCUGGUGAUGUUGUAGCAGCACGGAAUGGUUUGUGGGUUAUACUGAGAUGCAGGCCAUACUGUGCUGCCGCACUAAAGCCUGAAUAUACUACAUAGCUAUUAUCUCACAGUCUCUCCACCAAACAUACUGUUGCAGUGAAAGCUUGAGGUAACAGGUAACAUACUGUCAUUUUUGCAAAAAACAGUAGUCUUUACUGACUUGAAUUAAUUUCUCAUAGCCUUUCUUCUCCCUCCCCCCAGCUGUGAUGAGAAAGUUGUUUGGGCUUCCCCAUUCUCAUUUUCUGGUCGCCUUACUGUAGCAGCACGUAAAUAUUGGAGUUAACACUCUAGCUGAAGUCUCCAGUAUUGAUCGUACUGCUGAAGCAAAGCGGGCCACUCACAAUCACAGCAACUAACCACCACUGAGUGUACUCGGACCACUCAGGUGGUGGCAAACAGAGGCUGGCCUUUAGAAAUGUUUACAGGUACAGGUUGACUCACUGAUUCUUACUUAAUGUCUAUUCCAUAUUGUAUUGACAUGUAAAAUAUGUAUACUACAUUUUAUUACACUUCACUAUUAUGUGUAAACCUUUUGAGAAUAAAAACGUUUUAAUUCUG